ACUUAGAAACACUGAAGUCCCAAGGACUUCAUAGUGAAGAUGUCCUUGGGACAAUUGGGCCUUUCAAAAUCUUUCUGGGUAGUUUGGAGGCCCUUUUAGGCCCAUUUGAACUUCCAGAUGAGAGCCAGCCUGGGACAGAGGCAAUUAAUAGUCAGGCUAUGCGCCUGAUUUUGGAGGGCAGCUCCAGGGCCAGGAGUACUUAUUUCUUAAAAAAAAACAUUCUUAAAGGAGCCAGUGCCAUCUUCGGGCCCUACUUGCUGGGAGAGUGCCACUGGACCCUCUUUCAUUGCAACUUGAAAGAGGGAACUAUUACCUACAUCGACUCCUUGGGGGAGCAACCACAGCAUUGCUUCCAAAUAAUGGAAAAUUGGAGCUUAUUUGCUGCUAGCAGAGGCUGCCAAGGGCCCUGGAAGAUGAUGAAGAGGGACCAUGACUUACAAAACGACUCUUUGUCAUGUGGGGUGUUCUCACUAAUGUUUGCAGAAAUGAUCCUCCAGGGACAACAAGGGCACCUCCAAUGCCUCCCUAUCGCUCAAGAGCGGGAGAGACUUGGGACUUUGUUGUUCAACUCCCUUGAUACAAAGACUCUAAGAAGAAAAAAGGGAAAAAUCGCCAAGUCUAAAAAUACAGUAGAUGGUGGCCUUGCACAGGAAUCUGAGUCCACAGAGGGUGAACAAGUAGAUGGUGGCCUUGCACAGGAAUCUGAGUCCACAGAGGGUG
ensembl:lncRNA